rnacentral:rRNA from 1 species
ACCUACGGGACGCAGCAGUGAGGAAUAUUGGUCAAUGGCCGAGAGGCUGAACCAGCCAAGUCGCGUGAGGGAAGACGGCCCUACGGGUUGUAAACCUCUUUUGUCGGGGAGCAAAGAGAGUCACGUGUGACUCAUUGAGAGUACCCGAAGAAAAAGCAUCGGCUAACUCCGUGCCAGCAGCCGCGGUAAUACGGAGGAUGCGAGCGUUAUCCGGAUUUAUUGGGUUUAAAGGGUGCGCAGGCGGAGGUGCAAGUCAGCGGUCAAAUUGCGGGGCUCAACCCCGUCCGGCCGUUGAAACUGGGGGG